ACAGAUAACUGCCCACAUCUGCCUCCUGAGUGCUGAAUAAAGGCUGUACUACGCAUGAAGCUUAUCAACAAAGGCUAAUGUCUCCUCAGCUGGACCACAGGCUGGCCGUAGGCUCUGCACUUUACAGAUCAUGCUUCCAGGAUGCUCAGAGCAAUUCCCUAAGAGGACAGCAUUAUCUGUACAGAAGCAGGGACAGAUCAUUACCCAAGUGAGGAAUGACAGAGCACAUCGGAGCUGGAACUGAGCACUGAAACCGUUUGACCAACCCUGAGCGGUAGCAAGGUCAGGCUUGGACCCCAGAGCCCCAGCAGCCCCAGCAGCUCCUUCCCAGCCUCCAAUCCUCAGUUCCCAGGGAUGCAGCUCUCAACAGCAGCCCCUCCUUUGAAGAUCCUCAGGCUGGAAGGAGACAGCAAUGCACAACUGUGUAAACAGAAGAGUAGAGACACGGAGCAGAUGAACCAGGAAGGCAGCACAGUGACGGCAAAAAAGACUGAGGUGCACAUGCUAAGCACAUCCCAGCCUCGGCACGGCAACAAACAAACAAACAACAACAAAACCCCAAAACUAAGGCGACAGAUCCCAUGGAGUGGGGGUGGUGAAUACAGAGCCCGUGGUCACAGUGCUAACCGAGUAGAAAUCGAAAGGAAGGAUUGACAGUCAAGGGGGAGAGAUGGCAGGCGGCAAGGACAGCAAGAGCAAAGGCCCUGUGGUGGUCUGAGUUCCCUUUGUCCAUGGCUCAGCAAUGUCACGUGCCAGAGUACGCGGUGGGCAUGGCUGCAACAGUUUGUGGAGCAGAGGGUAGGCACAUAGGUGCAAGGACCUGUGUAUAGCAGCCCCCAAAACUGGAUGGCAGCGCUGGGAAGUGAUAGGGUGAGGAGUGGAUAAGUCUGCCUUUGGGGUGCAAAGGAGGAACUAAUCUGGAUAUGGAAGGAUGGUACAUUGUGUGGCAGUGAGACUCUGGUUUCCUUGUCCCCAAGCGCCAUCUUCUGCCUCUAACUAAGCCGGGAUCUGUGACACAGAGAUGAACAGCCCUGUGUGCGUUGUGGUCACAUUCAGAGUAGUUGGCAGAGGGGUGAGGGGAGAACCAUGAAGGAAAGGGCACAAGGGGAUAGAGGGGAUGUUUGGGUGGUACUGGAGCUGAAGAGAGAAGGCAGUCACAUAGUCCUGGAGCAUAGAGGGAUAGGAAGCAGACAGCGGGAGGAACCAGGGCCUAGAGCUGUCCACAGGGGCUUGGAAAGGAGUUGAAGACAGUACAAAGCCAUGACAGCUGUACACAUUGGGAUGGCCCACAGUGACAAUUCUGGACUGUUGGUAUCUUUUAAAAACACAAAAGAUAUUAUAAGAAAGUAUUUUCGUUUUAAUCCCAUGUGUGGGGAAACGGGGCUGCUUCAGACUGUCUGUAGAAGGUUGACUAUGAUUUGCUUCAUGCUCUAGCAGAGGAGUGGCGUUGCCAGCUCUUACUGUGUGAUGCUUCUGGGAACUUUUCAGAGGGUAUAUAAAGGCUAGGACCCUGAGAGGAAGGGUUGGGGGUUGUUAGUCAUUCAGGGGGUUGGUAGCUGUUUGUUGUCGGACUCAGAGAAGGAACAAGAAGAAAUUAUAUUCAAUGAUCUCCAUUGCUCCUCGCCCUCUCUCCUUUUUUCCUCUCCUAUCAAGUGAUAGGGUUAAAGAAGAACCCACAAAGUAGCAAAGACCACCUACAAUGGCCCACUAUGUUUGGGGCCAAGAGGAAGGUCAAUGGGGGCCUGAGAAGCAGAGUGACAGGGUGUUGGUGAUAGAUAAUCUUAGUUCCUCUGUAUAGAAUGAUUGAUCACUCUGGUCUAAGAUGUGCUUUCUGCUCAGCAAAGCCAAACCUUGUCCUUUCACAGCUCAGGAGACAACGGUAACAAUAACCCCGUCGAACUAGCAGAGGAGUGAGCUGAACUACGGAGCCUGAGCCAGGCUCGCAGGUGGGUACCUUGCUUUGUCUUGCUUGCCUCUCCAGCAUUCGGAAAAGCUGUUAUCGCUGCCGUCGCCUGGACAUAGGAAGUCAGGACUCAGCUCUGAGGCCUGGCCAGGACACUCUAUUCACUAUAACACCCUCCCAGUCUUGCAAAGCUGGAGGCUGUGACCAUGGGUGUUGCUGAGGGAUGCACGUCUUCCCAGGAGGAGGAGCCUUGACCAAGCUUCCUUCUUCCUGGGCACAGGAGUUAAUGCCUUUACUGCCCAGAGUCAAGUUCACAUCUGGCUGGAAGCUUAGCAGCCUCACUGUUCAGAAAUGUAUAUGAGAAGAAUGGAGAAGUUAGAGCUCUGGGCCUCUCAACCACGGUCAGAUAUGAUUCAAUGUCCAAUGCCCCUACAGGUCCAUAUGUGAGAGCUUGUCCACUGGCCAGUGGGAGGUGGUGGAACUUAAGGAGGUGGUGCUUAUUGAAAGGAAGUUAAGUCACCAGAGCAUUCCCCUAGGAAGAACCUGGGGUCCUGUCUCCUUGCUUUCUAGACACCAAGAGGUAGUCAACUCCGUUGUCAUACUCUCCUGGCUCCAUCAUGAUGCUCUGCUGCAUCACAAUAGACCAACCAACCUUGGACGGGGGCUCUCGGAUCUUUAGUCGGUAUCCCAGGAGUUUUGUCACAGCAAUGAACACUGACACAUCCACAGAGGAGGAGAUGAGAAAGGCAUACAUUUCUUUAUGAAUGGGAAUGAGACUAGGAAAGGAUGAGGGAUGAAUAAAGAGGCCCAGAGCUACAAAAGGCUGAAGGGGAGGAGCUGCGGAGCAGAGGAGCCAGCCAGAGCCAAGUGUAGUACAAGCUGUGGAAAACGACAGAAUGAGGCAUGGGGGGUGGGGGGGAUAAGGGUUCCAUGGCAGAGCCAUAGACUGAGUAGCACCUCCCAAAAUUCACGUCCACCCAGGUACUUGGAACGUGAUUCUUUUUUUAAAAAAGAUUUAUUUAUUUAUU
rnacentral:sRNA from 1 species